UUUGUGCUCUUUGUUUACGUGUUGGUUCUCUCUUGGGACUGAGAGAGGCCAGACAGAAAUCCAUCUUCUCCAACCCAUCCUAAUCCAAGUCUCCAAUUUUGCAACCAGUAUAGCUGAGGACAACGAGAACCGCCCACCAUGCCCCAAGCCAGAGCUCUGCUGACCGCUAGUGUACGUACUGGACAGCCUGCGGAAAGGGAACCUCUUGACAAGAGUCGUUUGCACAAAGGGUUACGGGCAGUAUGGGUAUCAUAAGGGCGGCUGUCCCGGUCGCUGUGCCAAGGGAUGUGCCAAACACGAAGUGGCGUCUAAAACCUACGACUGCAAACACCUGAACUGCUGCACCCACCCCAAGAAAGGGUAAAGAGCACUGCGGUCUCCACCCGCACAGGAAGAGUGGCGGCAGCAACCUGAUUGUGUAUUAGAAAUGUUGUUCACUCUUCAUUAAAUA